rnacentral:rRNA from 1 species
AUUGAACGCUGGCGGCAGGCUUAACACAUGCAAGUCGAGCGGAGUGAUGGUGCUUGCACUAUCACUUAGCGGCGGACGGGUGAGUAAUGCUUAGGAAUCUGCCAUUUAGUGGGGGACAACAUUCAGAAAGGAAUGCUAAUACCGCAUACGUACUACGGGAGAAAGCAGGGGAUCUUCGGACAUUGCGCUAAAUGAUGAGCCUACGUCGGAUUAGCGAGUUGGUGGGGUAAAGGCCUACCAAGGCGACGAUCUGUAGCGGGACAGAGGGGAUGAUCCGCCACACUUGGACUGAGACACGGCCCAGACUCCUACGGGGGGCAGCAGUGGGGAAUAUUGGACAAUGGGCGGAAGCCUGAUCCAGCCAUGCCGCGUGUGUGAAGAAGGCCUUUUGGUUGUAAAGCACUUUAAGCGAGGAGGAGGCUACUAGUACUAAUACUACUGGAUAGUGGACGUUACUCGCAGAAUAAGCACCGGCUAACUCUGUGCCAGCCGCCGCCGUAACAC